UGCAUAAACAACAAAACAGUGUGUUAGAACCAAGGAUCAUGAUUAAUCAAUUCUGUGUACCUGAGAUCUGAA
rnacentral:snoRNA from 10 species